rnacentral:rRNA from 1 species
UAGGGAAUCUUCCACAAUGGACGCAAGUCUGAUGGAGCAACGCCGCGUGAGUGAAGAAGGUUUUCGGAUCGUAAAGCUCUGUUGUUGGUGAAGAAGGAUAGAGGUAGUAACUGGCCUUUAUUUGACGGUAAUCACCCAGAAAGUCACGGCUAACUACGUGCCAGCAGCCGCGGUAAUACGUAGGUGGCAAGCGUUGUCCGGAUUUAUUGGGCGUAAAGCGAGCGCAGGCGGAAGAAUAAGUCUGAUGUGAAAGCCCUCGGCUUAACCGAGGAACUGCAUCGGAAACUGUUUUUCUUGAGUGCAGAAGAGGAGAGUGGAAUUCCAUGUGUAGCGGUGGAAUGCGUAGAUAUAUGGAAGAACACCAGUGGCGAAGGCGACUCUCUGGUCUGCAACUGACGCUGAGGCUCGAAAGCAUGGGUAGCGAACAGG